ensembl:lncRNA
CAGAUUAAGGCGCUGGGUGCAGCGUCUCUGCACACGGCUCCCCCACGCCAUCUUGAACAGAGUGUUGGGGGCGGAGCCUUUGCCGUCGUCGCCACCAUUUUGCACCAGGCAUCCUGUUGGGAAGAGCUGGAGGGAAACCUUUGCACCAGGUGCCUUGGGAACUAGGGAGCUAGACUCAGCGCAGUGAAAACAAGCAAGAGAAGAUGGAAAUAAUUAGGACUUAAUUUGGAUGCCAGAGUUCCAGAUUUCAGAUUGGAACAUCAUGCCUGUCCUUCAGUAUGAACACCUGGAAGAGUGCAUCAGAUGGGUAAGUAAGAAAUGUUGAAAACUGCGUGUGGAAGGAGACAUUUUUCUGACUGGGCUGAUGCCAAAUGAGAAACAGAAGCCCCUGCGUUGUAGAAGUCGGAGCUCCCUACUUCGUGUCAAAGUGGCUGCUGAGAUCUCCACAUUUCGUUGUGUGUCCAUUUUCUUAUCUCUUUGGGAUGGCAGCGUGUUCAGAGGGAUAAAGAUAAGCACUGAAUUUAAUAUUUCCUUCUUUCUUGGAGGAAAUAACACGAGACCAGACAACCCAGAUCCCCAUCGGCCUACUUCCGUAUCAUUUGUCAUGGUGCGCCAUUCCAACCCGCCCCUUCAUUCCUCUAAGAACAGAUUUUGACCAGUGGGAGCCCCAGGACAGACACCUGAGGAAAUCCCUGGGGGGGAAGGACUUUUCCCCUCCCUCACUCCCACAAGUUGUGAUGCUGAUUCAUCCGUGAGCUCUUUGUGUUGAUGGUUCUAGAAGCACUGCCAUGCUUGCCCUCCCUUGUCACCGUUGAAAGCAGCUUAAAAAGAUGCACUCCAAUAGGGGACGAGAGAUUGCACUGCACAGAGUAUAAAGGUUAGAGUUGCAAUUCCAUAGGAAUUUGGUACAUUUCUAAAUUAAUGCUCUGCAUCUUUGCGAGACUGACCUGUGUUCCCUUAGCUGGUCAGCGGCUUUCCUGUGCCCUGUGCUCCCUAGCGCCUGCUGUGGGUGUCUUCUGGCCAGGGCCUCUGAGCAUCAGAUCCACAGAGGGAGGGGGGCUCCCCAGGAAUGAUGCGAGUGGGGAGGCUCAGCACUCCAGCAGCCUUGCCAGUCUUCAAUUUCUUAAAAAUAAGUGCAAAUAGAUUUUGUUUGUAAAAGUAAAGGUCUCACGUUUUUCACAGCCUGGUGACUCAUCCCUCCCUAGACAAAAGGGAACAAGGAUUCCCUUGGUUUUCAGCAGCCAUUAUCUGCCACCUUUAUUCUGAAAAUGAUCUUUCCACCUGUCCUUUCGUUUACUUAGUCCUGAGGACUGUAGAGUGGGCUCCUGUUUACAACAUGAGGGAGGAAAGAAACACUGUGUAGACAAACUGAACACUUGCCCAAGCCCUUCCACUCCUCGGGAUCAGUUUUGUUCACUUGCCCCAUCAAGUGCUCCAUUCCGGAGCAGGUCUCCACAAGGAGACCAGUCCCUCCCUGCCGGCCAGGCCACCUACCCUGACAGCUUUCCUGCUUCACCCCGUGCUACCCCUCCACAGCCCCUCUGAGAGGCACGGUCUGCUCACAGAUGUGAAAGACUGAGACUUUACCCAACUCAGACUCUGACUAGCUGCCCUGCUCCUGUUUCCUAGUGGCUGGCAAAAGACAAGACUCUGGGGUCAGAGACCAAGGACUUAGGUGAUGACAGCCCAGCACACAAUGUCCCCUGUUUGCAUGAGUUCCCUUUGCCCCCAUGUAGCACAGAGAUAACACCAGGACGUGCAGGAGAGGGACCGGAGUCAAGUGCCCUGCACAUGACCAGGCAGCAAGCAGUUCCUGCCCCCUCGCAGUGACCUGCUUCAUUCAGGGGACAGCUCUGCCUGUCAGGCGCCCUCAGCACAAGCUUGCCGGGUGUCCAGGGCCCACGACGGGCUGCCUGUCCCAGCAGGGCCUAAGGACAUGUCGUCAUGCCGGCUUCCCUCCAGAAUGACGUCAUGCUAAAGCCUGCAG